CCGGUUCUUGUCUGCGUCCGUCCGCUAACGUUCGGUCAAGUUCGUUGUGGAAGCCACGAAAAACUAACCGAUAAAAUCCCCCAAACUGAGGGAAAAUACGAGUGAAACCGCCGGGCAUGUCGGAUACGUCACUUUUACUCUGGCUCGACUUAACCUUUAACCCUUCCGUCCCAAAUGGUGUAACUUGGAAAGCUUUAGGAGAAAGGAAGUGAGAGUGUUCGUCCAGGAUCUAAAUACCAGUGGACUCGUCAGUAAGGCAGAAUCUGCUAGACCCGUACCUUAGACGUUGGGACGAGCGUUGGCUUUUUUUUAUCAGGCGGGGCCUGAUCGGUGAUUAUCGGAAAAUGUAGGAAAGAGAAUAGUCUCGGCUAUAUUCUCAUAAAAUUCUGAAACAGAAUAUAAAAAAUAUUAGAUGAUAACUGCGGAGGAGUGGUUAGGUUGACAUACUAUACAUGAAGUAAGAAGUUGCAAAAAAAUUUUCAAAAAAUCUACAUACAUAAGACGCUAAGUCAGGUGUAGUAGGAAUUUUACUGAAUCUUAUAUGCAAAUUAUGUACGAACUGAGUAGGAGCGAGAAAGAUCUUGGUGCGCUAGCCCUCUAUUGGCGGAGUUCUGGAAGCCUGGCGCCUUAAUACUAUUGCUAUAUAGAGAUAUUUAAACUUCCAUACUGAAAAGUUAAUGCGGAUACUGUCGAAGGGAACGAUAAAAGAUGAA